rnacentral:rRNA from 1 species
CCUACGGGUGGCAGCAGUGAGGAAUAUUGGUCAAUGGACGAGAGUCUGAACCAGCCAAGUAGCGUGAAGGAUGACUGCCCUAUGGGUUGUAAACUUCUUUUAUAUGGGAAUAAAACGUUCCACGUGUGGGAUUUUGUAUGUACCAUAUGAAUAAGGAUCGGCUAACUCCGUGCCAGCAGCCGCGGUAAUACGGAGGAUCCGAGCGUUAUCCGGAUUUAUUGGGUUUAAAGGGAGCGUAGGUGGAUUGUUAAGUCAGUUGUGAAAGUUUGCGGCUCGACCGUAAAAUUGCAGUUGAAACUGGCAGUCUUGAGUACAGUAGAGGUGGGCGGAAUUCGUGGUGUAGCGGUGAAAUGCUUAGAUAUCACGAAGAACUCCGAUUGCGAAGGCAGUUCACUGGACUGCAACUGACACUGAGGCUCGAAAGUGUGGGUAUCAAACAGGAUUAGAUACCCUUC